AGUAAGGCGGUGGCAGUGAGCUCAGGCCCCUGGGCCAGAUAGAGGAAAUAGAAUUGGCUGCCAUGGGCUCCUGGCCCAGCUCUGUCUAGGCCUGAGGACACACACUCCAACCUGAGCCAGACUGCCAGGGAAACUCGUAAGGGCUUCCUGCAGGAGGAGCUUCUACCUUCUCAUCUUCCUGAGGGAGCUGACACAGAACCAAGGCACUGAGGAGGAUUGCAGGACUGGCGCAGGGCGGGGGUGGGAAGGGAGGAGGCACACCUGUGCUCACAACCGAAACAGUGUGUCCAAGACACCUGCUGUCCUCUCAAUGCCCUCACCCCUCUCCUCCUCCCUUCCUCCAUCU